GGUUGGUGAGGAAGGGAUAGAGCAGGGAGAAGUUAUGGCGGGAGCUUCAGUGCAUAUGCAGCAUUUGAACAGCAGAGUCGGUGUUACUAUGGCCACCGCGACUACUCCUACAGACACCCAAAUCGGGACUCGGGUUCAACUCCCAGAGAAGACCCGCAAUUCUCGGGUGUUGGUGCUCGGCGGAACGGGUCGGGUCGGAGGCUCCACUGCCAUUGCUCUCUCCAAGCUAUGCCCCGACCUCCAAAUUGUCGUCGGCGGUCGAAACAGGGAAAAAGGUGUUAAUAUGGUAGCUACACUUGGGAGAAACUCAGAGUUCUCAGAAGUAGACAUUAACAAUGUAAAAUCAUUGGAAGCAGCUCUGAAAGAUGUAGAUCUCGUAGUUCAUGCUGCAGGGCCAUUUCAACAAGCAGAGAAGUGCACUGUAUUGGAAGCUGCCUUAGAGACAAAGACAGCCUACGUUGAUGUUUGUGAUGACACAGCCUAUUCACAACGUGCAAAAUCCUUCAAGAACAGCGCUAUAGCUGCAAAUAUUCCGGCUAUAACAACUGGUGGAAUUUAUCCAGGAGUGAGCAAUGUGAUGGCUGCAGAACUAGUUCGUGCAGCUAGAAGUGAAAGCAAAGGCACACCCGAAAGGCUAAGAUUCUAUUACUACACAGCAGGAACUGGCGGCGCUGGUCCAACUAUCUUAGCCACUAGCUUUUUGCUUCUGGGAGAGGAGGUUGUUGCAUUUAAUAAAGGAGAAAAGAUCAAACUAAAGCCAUAUAGUGGAAUGCUGGAGAUUGACUUUGGAAAAGGCAUUGGAAAGAAAGAUGUUUAUCUGUUGAAUCUACCGGAGGUAAGAAGUACUCAUGAGGUCCUAGGAGUACCUACUGUCAGUGCUCGAUUUGGAACUUCACCCUUCUUUUGGAAUUGGGGAAUGGCAAUCAUGACUAGUCUUCUUCCACCGGAGCUAUUGAGAGACAGAAGCAAAGUCCAACAGAUGGUUGAACUGUUUGACCCCGUUGUCCGACAAGUUGAUUCUUUUGCUGGGGAGCGUGUAUCAAUGAGGGUUGAUUUGGAGUGCUCUGAUGGGCGCAAUACAGUUGGUAUAUUCAGUCACAAGAGACUCUCUGUAUCUGUGGGAUAUGCAGCAGCUGCAUUUGUUAUGGCAAUUCUUGAGGGAAGCACAAAGCCUGGGGUUUGGUUUCCGGAGGAGAAUGAAGGCAUUGCAAUUGAGGCAAGGGAACUCCUCCUCGAACGUGCUGCGCAAGGAACAUUCAAUUUCGUAAUGAACAAGCCAUCAUGGAUGGUGGAAACAAACCCAAAAGAGUUAGGGUUGGGAAUAUACGUGUAAUACUCAAACGAAGUCAAACUAGUAGUUCAAAUUCUUCACCAUGUUGCCGAGUUGCGAGGCUUCCCCGUCUGGCAGGACAAAAGGGUCGUUAAAUUAAACAAAUUUUUGGAGAUAAGUAUGAAUAUUUUCCCCUACAUAUAUAGCAGUAAUCUUCAGUAAAGGAAACAAGUGAAAUAUAAUUUACAUCGUAUGUGUAUUAUACUUAUUUCAAUGUUGUGAAAUAAGCAGCUAGAACUCUAAUAAAUUGCACCGUUUGAAAAAUAAAACUUCCUUUCA